rnacentral:rRNA from 1 species
GAGUUUGAUUCUGGCUCAGNUUGAACGCUGGCGGCAUGCCUUACACAUGCAAGUCGAACGGCAGCGGCCCUUCGGGGUGCCGGCAAGUGGCGAACGGGUGAGUAACACAUCGGAACGUACCCUGUGGUGGGGGAUAACCCGUCGAAAGACGGGCUAAUACCGCAUAAGCUCUGCGGAGGAAAGCGGGGGACCGUCAAGGCCUCGCGCCACAGGAGCGGCCGAUGUCCGAUUAGCUAGUUGGUAGGGUAAAGGCCUACCAAGGCGACGAUCGGUAGCGGGUCUGAGAGGACGGCCCGCCACACUGGGACUGAGACACGGCCCAGACUCCUACGGGAGGCAGCAGUGGGGUAUCUUGGACAAUGGGGGAAACCCUGAUCCAGCAAUGCCGCGUGGGUGAAGAAGGCCUUCGGGUUGUAAAGCCCUUUUAGCAGGGAAGAAAUCGGCUGGGUGAAUAGUCUAGCUGGAUGACGGUACCUGCAGAAAAAGCACCGGCUAACUACGUGCC